rnacentral:rRNA from 1 species
GACGAACGCUGGCGGCGUGCCUAAUACAUGCAAGUAGAACGCUGAAGGAGGAGCUUGCUUCUCCGGAUGAGUUGCGAACGGGUGAGUAACGCGUAGGUAACCUGCCUGGUAGCGGGGGAUAACUAUUGGAAACGAUAGCUAAUACCGCAUAACAGUAGAUGUUGCAUGACAUUUGCUUAAAAGGUGCAAUUGCAUCACUACCAGAUGGACCUGCGUUGUAUUAGCUAGUUGGUGAGGUAACGGCUCACCAAGGCGACGAUACAUAGCCGACCUGAGAGGGUGAUCGGCCACACUGGGACUGAGACACGGCCCAGACUCCUACGGGAGGCAGCAGUAGGGAACCUUCGGCAAUGGACGGAAGUCUGACCGAGCAACGCCGCGUGAGUGAAGAAGGUUUUCGGAUCGUAAAGCUCUGUUGUAAGAGAAGAACGAGUGUGAGAGUGGAAAGUUCACACUGUGACGGUAUCUUACCAGAAAGGGACGGCUAACUACGUG